rnacentral:rRNA from 1 species
AUGGGGAGUCGGAAAAUGGCGUCACAGCCCGGGCGCGGCACCGGCGGCGGCGGCGACGCUGGGACGUCGCAGCGCGGGCAGGUGCAGAGCCUGGCGAGGCAGGGGUCUCUGUACAGCCUCACCCUCGACGAGGUGCAGAACCAUCUGGGAGAGCCCCUGCAGAGCAUGAACCUCGACGAGCUGCUCAGGACCGUGUUUCCUGACGACAUGGAGCCCGAUGGCGCGACCACCAGCCAGUAUGUGCCGAGUUCAAGCCUCCUGCGCCAGGGCAGCAUCACGAUGCCGACCGAGCUCAGCAAGAAGACGGUGGAUGAGGUGUGGAAGGGCAUCCAGGAUGCGCCCAAGAGGAGUGUCCAGGGGAGUGGCCGGCGCAAGCGGGAGAGGCAGCCCACACUCGGGGAGAUGACACUCGAGGAUUUCUUGGUCCAAGCAGGGGUUGUUUCCCAGGGAUUUCUCAAGGACACGAGCGAUGCUGGCAAUUUGGGUCUGGUGGGGAGAGAGGCUACAGCAGCCGGAGCCGCAGAUUUGACAUCAGGAGCACAGUGGUUAGGCCAUUACCAGCAGCAGAUUGCAGCUGCAGCCAUCGACACUCAUCAGCAUGGCCAGCAAAUUGUGCCAGCUGCUUAUAUGCCCAUUCAGUUUGUCCCUCAGCCGCUGAAUGUUGUUGGCCCUGGUGCCACUCUGGGGUCUGCUUACUCUGAUGGCCAGAGUACAUCACCAAUGAUCAGUCCAAUCUCUGAUUCUCAGACACCUGGGAGAAAGCGUGGUGUAUCAGGAGAUGUCCCCAAUAAGUUUGUGGAGAGAAGGCAGAAGAGGAUGAUCAAGAAUAGGGAGUCGGCUGCACGUUCAAGGGCUAGGAAACAGGCCUACACCAAUGAACUCGAAAACAAGGUAUCCCGUUUAGAAGAGGAGAAUGAGAGGCUAAAGAAGCAAAAGGAGUUGAACAUGAUGCUUUGCUCGGUGCCUCUACCAGAACCCAAGUACCAACUCAGGAGAACAUGCUCGGCCGCUUUCUGA